rnacentral:rRNA from 1 species
CGCCUCUUGUAUCCCAUAAGAGGUCCAGCCUGCCCAGUGACUUUUGUUCAACGGCCGCGGUAUCCUAACCGUGCGAAGGUAGCGCAAUCACUUGUUUCUUAAAUAGGGACUAGUAUGAAAGGCAUCACGAGGGCCUAACUGUCUCCUUUUUCUAAUCAGUGAAACUAAUCUCCCCGUGAAGAAGCGGGGAUAUUUUUAUAAGACGAGAAGACCCUAUGGAGCUUUAAACUUUACAGCACCUGCCUACUACUAUUCCCCACUUUCAGAAAACUACCCCCCCCCGGCCCCCCCCCGUCUGUAAGCUUUCGGUUGGGGUGACCCCGGAAAAAAAAUUAUCCUCCGUAAUGAACAGAUUUAUCUUUAGCAAAAAGCUACAACUUUAACAUCAGUAAAA